CCUACGGGUGGCAGCAGUGGGGAAUAUUGCACAAUGGGGGAAACCCUGAUGCAGCAACGCCGCGUGAAGGAAGACGGUUUUCGGAUUUUAAACUGCUUUUAUAAGCGAGAAAUAUGAUGGUACCUUAUGAAUAAGGUUCGGCUAACUACGUGCCCGCAGCCGCGGUCAUACGUAGGAUCCGAGCAUUAUCCGGAGUGACUGGGAGUAAAGAGUUGUGUAGGUGGCAUAAUAAGUAGCUAGUGAAAUCUGGUGGCUCAAACAUUCAGACUAUUAGCUAAACUGUUAAGCGCGAGACCGUUGUGGGUAAGUGGAAUUUGUAGUGUAGGAGUGAAAUCCGUAGAUAUUAGAAGGAACACCAAUAGCGAAGGCAGGUUACUGAGACGGUUCUGACACUAAGGCACGAAAGCGUAGGGAGCAAACGGGAUUAGAUACCCCUGUAGUC
rnacentral:rRNA from 1 species